GCACCUCAUAAAACGGGUGCCGGGUUUCGCAGCCCGGAAAUGUACGAGGCGACACAUGACGCGCCGAGCGUCUUUUUU
rnacentral:sRNA from 10 species